rnacentral:snRNA from 1 species
GCUUACUUCAUCAAUACAUACAAUAAAAUUGGAACAAUGCAGAGAUGAUUAGCAUGGCCCCUGCACAAGGAUGACUUCCUGAAGCAUCUUUAUUUGUA